rnacentral:rRNA from 1 species
CACGUAGGCGGACUGGAAAGUUGGAGGUGAAAUCCCAGGGCUCAACCUUGGAACUGCCUUCAAAACUAUCAGUCUGGAGUUCGAGAGAGGUGAGUGGAAUUCCGAGUGUAGAGGUGAAAUUCGUAGAUAUUCGGAAGAACACCAGUGGCGAAGGCGACUUACUGGACACAUAUUGACGCUGAGGUGCGAAAGCGUGGGGAGCAAACA